ACUGAAGACGGUUGGUUGCGUCGGCGAGAAGAAGAGAAAGAGCGCGCGCGGGGAAGCAAUAAAAGACCAUGGCACGUACAAAGCAAACUGCCCGUAAAUCCACUGGAGGGAAGGCUCCUCGUAAACAACUUGCCACCAAGGCAGCCAGGAAGAGUCCACCUUCCACAGGGGGAGUGAAGAAGCUACAUCGCUACAGGCCUGGAACUGUGGCCCUCCGUGAGAUCCGUCGUUAACCAGAAAUCUACUGAACUUCUGAUUCGGAAGCUGCCAUUCCUGCGUCUGGUUAGAGAAAUUGCACAGGAUUUUAAAACUGACCUGCGUUUCCAGAGUGCUGCCAUUGGUGCUCUGCAGGAAGCCAGUGAGACAUACUUGGUGGGCUUAUUAGAAGACACUAACCUGUGUGCCAUUCAUGCCAAGAGAGUUACAAUUAUGCCCAAGGACAUUCAGCUUGCCCGUAGAAUACGGGGUAAGGGGGCAUAAAGAAUGGGAUUGAUUUUAGUAAACUCUCUAAAUUGGUUUUAAAUUGUGUUUGUGUUCCUUUGUUUUUAUUGGUUUUUGUUCUGAUCAGUUUCCUUUCUUCAAAUCAUUCCAUCUAUCACUCAGGGUGAAUGCUUAACAUCACAUGCCAGUUCUGGUCUGUGUUGCAGAUGGCAGCUGGUGCUUAGUAUGUCAUUGAUCUGCUCACAUACACAGUAGUGAAUUCAAGCUGUACAUUGACUAGAGAAGCAAAUCUGUUCUAAGACUUGAACAUCAAGCAAUUCACAUGCUAUAGCAAGACUUUGACUAGAAUGCCAAGUGCAGGAAACACAAUCAUUUGUAUAGGUGUUUCUAAACAUUGUGUUUUUGAGUUUCUGGUUUGAAAGUUAAUGUAACAUCACUCGUUUGGCAUUUUUAAAGGCUACAUUCAACUAGUUAGGAGAAAUGCUUGUAAUAGCGUUGAGGCCCACUUAUGCAUACUCUUGUUUAAACUUAUCAAAUCAUUGGAAAUCCAAGGUGCUUAACAGAUCAAUGUGUUAAACAGGCAGCUAUACAACAUAAUGUGCAUUUACAAGAGCAAUUUUAUAUAUUGUGUUUAAAUUAAACAGUUUUACAUAAAAAAAAAA